rnacentral:pre_miRNA from 1 species
AUCUCCUGGGAAUCAUGUUAAAAUGCACAUUCUGAUUCAGUCAUUCUAGGAGAAGCCUGAGAUUCUGCAUUUUUAACAAGCUCCCAGGUGAGGAUGA